UGAGUACAAAAAUACUACCUACGUUUGUGCUGCCAUGUACUAUAAACAUGUAUUUUCGAAAGUAGCAGUGCACAAGUAAUGAUGGUGUAUGUGACAUCACCAAUGAUGCGCCGAUGACGUGACGUCAUCUGUCUUCGACAGCAGCCUGUAAAUUGGCACACAACCUUUUUUUGUGUUCUUGCUUAAACGUAGAUGCCAAAUGACCCACAAAAGGAAAAAAAUGUGAUAUCAGGUCCGAUCCACCCAAAGGAAGUCUCAAGCCGGCAGUGUACAGUCAGCUUCCGCGGUACAUUGAGAGCGUGAUGUGGAUCUCUACUCAUGGAAAGCGCAAAACAAUCACACAUGCAAGACCUGCCAACAUCAUCUCUCCCAAACAAGCCGGAGCACCAGAGCGUGUCCGGAAAGAACCAGAACUCCCAGCAUCAACACAUCAAGAGCCGAGACAAAGACCAGCACAGCCCCCACGCCGGAACAAAAGCUUACCCCCAGUCCUCCAUUAGCAGCAGCCUAGAAUGCAGCAAGGAGAAAAAAAAAGAAGACACGUGGUCUUGGACAGCAGACUCCUUCCUCUUUGGAGCAACAAGAGCAUCAACAGAAAAGCAGCUCGGCUUGCUUGUUUGUGUUUCUCAGUGAGGAGAGUGAUAAUCCUGUGGUGUUCAGCUGAAGUGGUUCUGACAGUGUGCUCAGCCGGAGGGAUGCAGGCGGAAAGGGAAGGGGGGGGUGGGUGUGUUGCUGUUGCUGUGUAGGGAGUGACCUGCCUUUGGAGGGGCUAACCCAGAAAGGCGCUAGGAAUCAGGAUAGUUACCAUUACAGUCUAACUCAGCACUUUAGGUUUUAGAAUGUUAACAUCUACAGAAGUCAAUUAAAUAUUAGAAACAAAGCCCCAAAAAAACAAUAACGCCAUGGCAUGGACAGAAGUUCACCCUGAUAAUCAUUAAUAAACAAAUCAGCACUAUGUUAUUUCUAUCUUGCUAAUAUUACUACAGAGCAUAUCUGUGUGGAUAUGCUAUCUUGUACUCAGUACUCAGUUCAGUUUUCUGCAAUGUCUGAAGGAAUUACUACAAUUUAGAGUUAUUAGCCCAAGAAUCUAAGUUCUAUAUAACUGAAAUAUUAAUGAAAGUUAUAGAAUGUGCACAAACAUUUAUUGGUCAUACAAAUUACCACUAACAUCAAAUUUUGCAGUGGUAUUGCAUUGGGUAUUAGGUAAUGCAUUAUAAUGCGUUAUUAGGUAAAUUAUCAAAUAUAUAUAUAUUGAACUGGAUGGGUGUAAAUCCAUCUAUCACUGGUUUACAUACUGAAAGCCAGUUUGUUGAAACUGCUGAAUAUAUGUAGUAUAGUCAAGACAAUACCAGUAAACAAUACAAAAUGUCAAAUCAGACAUAUUUUCUGCCGAGUUACUUUUUCCCAAUACAAAGUAAUUGCUAUUAUAAUUUUUUUGGUCAUACAAAUUAACACUAACAUCACAUAAAAACAUUUUGCAGUGGUAUUGCAUUAGGUAUUAGGUAAUGCAUUAUUGCAUCUACAGUAAAUGAUCAAAUAUAUAGAACUGGAUGGUUGUAAAUCCAUUUAUCACUGGUUUACAUACUGAAAGCCAGUUUGUUGAAACUGCUGAAUAUAUGUGGUAUAGUCAAGACAAUACCAAUAAACAAUACACAAUGUCAAAUCAGACAUAGUUACUUUUUCCAAUACAAAGUAAUUGCUAUUAUAAUUUAUUUGCUGUAAACUAUUUCGCAAUUUUUUUAGCCUGAGUUGAGAUCAUAGGUUCUGUUAUGAAUACCCCAAAUUAAUAUGCACAAAAAAUCUUGGUGUCAAUCCAUGGAUAUUAAUGCAAUCAGAAUACACCUUGGAAAAAGCUCAACUUUCAAGAACCACAACUGCAGUAAGAUACCACAGAUUAGCACGGAUACAGAACCUUGCUGUCUUGUUCGUCCUGAUGACCUCCAGUAGAGCUGACACCUCAUUCAAAGUGUGGACCCGUGUUGCUGUUGCUGGCCUGCAGCAUGUCGCUAUGCAGCACUCCUUUAACACACACACACACACAUGCACUACAGGAGUGAACUUUGAUAUUUCCCCGCUAAGACACAUCAGACCAUCAAUAAUUAGCAAGGGAGGGUCAUGCACAUUCCUCAGUCCAGCAGGAGAUGGACGCGCUGAUAGACGAAAGAAAGGUGUGACGCAGGCAGUGCUGAGUCAUCAAGUGGUCAACUGCCAAUCAAUUGUGGGGGAGGAACACAUCUCAGAAUAUUAAAAAAGUGACAGGAAUGGAUGAAAUAUGAGGACCUA